AUCCAACUGACGAGCCCCAAAUAAGACGAAACGCCCGUCAAACUGGAU
rfam:Schistosoma rodhaini strain Burundi genome assembly, scaffold: SROB_scaffold0008521